rnacentral:rRNA from 1 species
CCUACGGUGGAGCAGCAGUGGGGAAUAUUGGACAAUGGGCGAAAGCCUGAUCCAGCCAUGCCGCGUGUGUGAAGAAGGCCUUCGGGUUGUAAAGCACUUUCAGUGGGGAAGAAAGCCUUGGGGCUAAUACCCUCGAGGAAGGACAUCACCCACAGAAGAAGCACCGGCUAACUCCGUGCCAGCAGCCGCGGUAAUACGGAGGGUGCGAGCGUUAAUCGGAAUUACUGGGCGUAAAGCGCGCGUAGGCGGUCUGAUAAGCCGGUUGUGAAAGCCCCGGGCUCAACCUGGGAACGGCAUCCGGAACUGUCAGGCUAGAGUGCAGGAGAGGAAGGUAGAAUUCCCGGUGUAGCGGUGAAAUGCGUAGAGAUCGGGAGGAAUACCAGUGGCGAAGGCGGCCUUCUGGACUGACACUGACGCUGAGGUGCGAAAGCGUGGGUAGCAAACAGGAUUAGAUACCCCAGUAGUC